rnacentral:rRNA from 2 species
GAACGCUGGCGGCGUGCCUAAUACAUGCAAGUCGAACGAGUUCUCGUUGAUGAUCGGUGCUUGCACCGAGAUUCAACAUGGAACGAGUGGCGGACGGGUGAGUAACACGUGGGUAACCUGCCCUUAAGUGGGGGAUAACAUUUGGAAACAGAUGCUAAUACCGCAUAGAUCCAAGAACCGCAUGGUUCUUGGCUGAAAGAUGGCGUAAGCUAUCGCUUUUGGAUGGACCCGCGGCGUAUUAGCUAGUUGGUGAGGUAAUGGCUCACCAAGGCGAUGAUACGUAGCCGAACUGAGAGGUUGAUCGGCCACAUUGGGACUGAGACACGGCCCAAACUCCUACGGGAGGCAGCAGUAGGGAAUCUUCCACAAUGGACGCAAGUCUGAUGGAGCAACGCCGCGUGAGUGAAGAAGGCUUUCGGGUCGUAAAACUCUGUUGUUGGAGAAGAAUGGUCGGCAGAGUAACUGUUGUCGGCGUGACGGUAUCCAACCAGAAAGCCACGGCUAACUACGUGCCAGCAGCCGCGGUAAUACGUAGGUGGCAAGCGUUAUCCGGAUUUAUUGGGCGUAAAGCGAGCGCAGGCGGUUUUUUAAGUCUGAUGUGAAAGCCCUCGGCUUAACCGAGGAAGCGCAUCGGAAACUGGGAAACUUGAGUGCAGAAGAGGACAGUGGAACUCCAUGUGUAGCGGUGAAAUGCGUAGAUAUAUGGAAGAACACCAGUGGCGAAGGCGGCUGUCUGGUCUGUAACUGACGCUGAGGCUCGAAAGCAUGGGUAGCGAACAGGAUUAGAUACCCUGGUAGUCCAUGCCGUAAACGAUGAAUGCUAGGUGUUGGAGGGUUUCCGCCCUUCAGUGCCGCAGCUAACGCAUUAAGCAUUCCGCCUGGGGAGUACGACCGCAAGGUUGAAACUCAAAGGAAUUGACGGGGGCCCGCACAAGCGGUGGAGCAUGUGGUUUAAUUCGAAGCAACGCGAAGAACCUUACCAGGUCUUGACAUCUUUUGAUCACCUGAGAGAUCAGGUUUCCCCUUCGGGGGCAAAAUGACAGGUGGUGCAUGGUUGUCGUCAGCUCGUGUCGUGAGAUGUUGGGUUAAGUCCCGCAACGAGCGCAACCCUUAUGACUAGUUGCCAGCAUUUAGUUGGGCACUCUAGUAAGACUGCCGGUGACAAACCGGAGGAAGGUGGGGAUGACGUCAAAUCAUCAUGCCCCUUAUGACCUGGGCUACACACGUGCUACAAUGGAUGGUACAACGAGUUGCGAGACCGCGAGGUCAAGCUAAUCUCUUAAAGCCAUUCUCAGUUCGGACUGUAGGCUGCAACUCGCCUACACGAAGUCGGAAUCGCUAGUAAUCGCGGAUCAGCACGCCGCGGUGAAUACGUUCCCGGGCCUUGUACACACCGCCCGUCACACCAUGAGAGUUUGUAACACCCGAAGCCGGUGGCGUAACCCUUUUAGGGAGCGAGCCGUCUAAGGUGGGACAAA